GCAUAUCAAUAAGCGGAGGAAAAGAAACUAACAAGGAUUCCCCUAGUAACUGCGAGUGAACCGGGAAGAGCUCAAAUUUUGAAUCUGGCGGUCUUUAGGUCGUCCGAGUUGUAAUCUAGAGAAGCGUCUUCCGCGCUGGACCGUGUAUAAGUUUCCUGGAAAGGAACGUCGUAGAGGGUGAAAAUCCCGUCUUUGACACGGACUCCCAGGGCUAUGUGAUGCGCUCUCGACGAGUCGAGUUGUUUGGGAAUGCAGCUCAAAUAGGGUGGUAAAUUCCAUCUAAAGCUAAAUACAGGCGAGAGACCGAUAGCGAACAAGUACCGUGAGGGAAAGAUGAAAAGAACUUUGGAAAGAGAGUUAAACAGUACGUGAAAUUGCUGAAAGGGAAACGCUUGAUGUCAGUCGCGUCGGCCGGGGAUCAGCCUUGCUUAACUGCGAGGCGUACUUCCUGGUAGACGGGUCAGCAUCAGUUUUGACCGUCGGAAAAGGGCUCGAGUAAUGUGGCACUCUUUCGGGAGUGUGUBAUAGACUUGGGUCGCAAUAUGAUGGUUGGGACUGAGGAACUCAGCACGGCCUUAGGGUAUCGGGGCUUUGGCCUACGUUCGCGUGCUUAGGAUGCUGGCAUAAUG
rnacentral:rRNA from 1 species